CUUACACUCUGUUUUUUUCUUUUUUAUAAUCUAUACAGUCAGUGCAAAAUGUACAGUCAGUGCAAAAUAUACAGUCAAUGCAAAAUGUACAGUCAGUGCAAAAUAUACAGUCAGUGCAAAAUGUAUGAUCAGUGCAAAAUAUACAGUCUAUAUGAUUUGUACAGUGAGUAUUAAGUGUGGCAGGCCUUCUGAACCUUGAGACACACAAAUCAGAGAAGAAUUAUAACUCUACACAUUCUACUGUCUGUACUGCAGAGCAUACAAGAUACACAUCUGUGCAUUUCUCAUAGUAUUGUUUUGAAGAUUAGCCA
rnacentral:sRNA from 1 species